rnacentral:rRNA from 1 species
AUCCUGGCUCAGACUUGAACGCUGGCGGCAUGCCUUACACAUGCAAGUCGAACGGCAGCACGGGGCAACCUGGUGGCGAGUGGCGAACGGGUGAGUAAUGCAUCGGAACGUGCCAUUGAGUGGGGGAUAACGUAGCGAAAGUUGCGCUAAUACCGCAUAUUCUGUGAGCAGGAAAGCAGGGGACCGCAAGGCCUUGCGCUCUUUGAGCGGCCGAUGUCAGAUUAGCUAGUUGGUGAGGUAACGGCUUACCAAGGCGACGAUCUGUAGCGGGGUCUGAGAGGAUGAUCCGCCACACUGGAACUGAGACACGGUCCAGACUCCUACGGGAGGCAGCAGUGGGGAAUUUUGGACAAUGGGCGCAAGCCUGAUCCAGCCAUGCCGCGUGAGUGAAGAAGGCCUUCGGGUUGUAAAGCUCUUUCGGCCGGGAAGAAAUCGCAUGGGUUAAUACCCUGUGUGGAUGACGGUACCGGAAUAAGAAGCACCGGCUAACUACGUG